rnacentral:rRNA from 1 species
UACGUAGGGGGCAAGCGUUGUCCGGAAUCAUUGGGCGUAAAGAGCGCGUAGGCGGCCCUGUAAGUCCGCUGUGAAAGUCAAGGGCUCAACCCUUGAAUGCCGGUGGAUACUGCAGGGCUAGAGUCCGGAAGAGGAGAGUGGAAUUCCUGGUGUAGCGGUGAAAUGCGCAGAUAUCAGGAAGAACACCCGUGGCGAAGGCGGCUCUCCGGGACGGUACUGACGCUGAGACGCGAAAGCGUGGGGAGCGAACAGG